GACGAACGCUGGCGGCGUGCUUAACACAUGCAAGUCGAACGGAAAGGCCCUGCUUUUGUGGGGUGCUCGAGUGGCGAACGGGUGAGUAACACGUGAGUAACCUGCCCUUGACUUUGGGAUAACUUCAGGAAACUGGGGCUAAUACCGGAUAGGAGCUCCUGCUGCAUGGUGGGGGUUGGAAAGUUUCGGCGGUUGGGGAUGGACUCGCGGCUUAUCAGCUUGUUGGUGGGGUAGUGGCUUACCAAGGCUUUGACGGGUAGCCGGCCUGAGAGGGUGACCGGCCACAUUGGGACUGAGAUACGGCCCAGACUCCUACAGGAGGCAGCAGUGGGGAAUAUUGCACAAUGGGCGGAAGCCUGAUGCAGCAACGCCGCGUGCGGGACGACGGCCUGCGGGUUGUAAACCGCUUUCGCCUGUGACGAAGCGUGAGUGACGGUAAUGGGUAAAGAAGCACCGGCUAACUACGUG
rnacentral:rRNA from 1 species